rnacentral:tRNA from 1 species
GGAGAGGUGGCUCAGAGGUUAAGAGCACUGACUGCUCUUCCAGAGGUCCUGAGUUCAAUUCCCAGCAACCUCA